rnacentral:rRNA from 1 species
GAUGAACGCUGGCGGCGUGCCUAAUACAUGCAAGUCGAGCGAAUGGAUUAAGAGCUUGCUCUUAUGAAGUUAGCGGCGGGCGGGUGAGUAACACGUGGGUAACCUGCCCAUAAGACUGGGAUAACUCCGGGAAACCGGGGCUAAUACCGGAUAACAUUUUGAACCGCAUGGUUCGGAAUUGAAAGGCGGAUUCGGCUGUCACUUAUGGAUGGACCCCGGGCGCAUUAGCUAGGUGGGGAGGUAACGGCUCACCAAGGCAACGAUGCGUAGCCGACCUGAGAGGGUGAUCGGCCACACUGGGACUGAGACACGGCCCAGACUCCUACGGGAGGCAGCAGUAGGGAAUCUUCCGCAAUGGACGAAAGUCUGACGGAGCAACGCCGCGUGAGUGAUGAAGGCUUUCGGGUCGUAAAACUCUGUUGUUAGGGAAGAACAAGUGCUAGUUGAAUAAGCUGACACCUUGACGGUACCUAACCAGAAAGCCACGGCUAACUACGUGCCAGCCGCCGCCGUAA